rnacentral:lncRNA from 1 species
AUGCAUGCUUGGAUUUGGAUUAGACAUUUUGCUUGCUGUUAGAACAAAGAAUAUUUAUUCUAAGAGCAAAGUGGAAAAGAAAUUCAUUAGCGAAACAGAGGAUUCAACUUCAAUAAAAAGCUGAGAAUCAGGAUCUUGUAUAGAAGAGCAUUUUUAAACAAAUACAGCCCUACAAUACAAUCAAUAACCAAAGACACGGAGAGUUGAGUUCUUCUCCUGCUUGUCUUGUCUGUAAUUAUUGCUCCAUUUCGGCACAACUCUUGCUUCUCUUAUAAUGUCUCUUUUCUUUCUGUAAAUCUUACAAACAAUUAUAAUAGUGUUCGUUAGCUCGAUUGAUCCUUUGCCUGCUUGGUGCGACAGGUGCCUGUCGCACCAAGACUUGGGCCUGUCGCACCAAGCUUCUUUUCGUUUGUAAAGAAGGGUAAUUUGGGGAGAAAAGCGUGUGUUUGGCUAAUGUUGAUAGAAAAAAGUUGAAAGAGUUAAUUGUGAAAAUAGUAAAAAUUUUAUGGUUAUU